GAUGAACGCUAGCGGGAGGCUUAACACAUGCAAGUCGAGCGGCAGCACGGACUUCGGUCUGGUGGCGAGCGGCGCACGGGUGCGUAACGCGUAUGCAACCUGCCUUAUACAGGGGGAUAGCCCAUGGAAACGUGGAUUAAUACCCCAUAACAUCAUGAAUUCGCAUGGAUUUAUGAUUAAAAUUUCGAUGGUAUAAGAUGGGCAUGCGUCUGAUUAGCUAGUUGGUGAGGUAACGGCUCACCAAGGCGACGAUCAGUAGGGGUUCUGAGAGGAUUAUCCCCCACACUGGUACUGAGACACGGACCAGACUCCUACGGGAGGCAGCAGUGAGGAAUAUUGAUCAAUGGGCGAGAGCCUGAACCAGCCAUCCCGCGUGCAGGAUGACGGCCCUAUGGGUUGUAAACUGCUUUUCUACGCCAAGAAACGGCCCUACGUGUAGGGCACUGACGGUAGCGUAGGAAUAAGCAUCGGCUAACUCCGUGCCAGCCGCCGCAGUAAUAC
rnacentral:rRNA from 1 species